GAAAACCUAAGAUUGGUGAAGUUGGUUAAAAUAAUCACUGCAGUAAUUGAAGGAGGCCUUAGGCGCGGAGGGCUUGUUCUGAAAGCUGGGGUUUUCAGAUUUUUCUCUUUUUUGGGGGGAAGAGAACAUCCCUUUGCUACCAUGUUUUGUUUUUACUUUGGUGGAAUUCAAUGGCUUUAUCCACACAGUCAUCUGAGAACUUGGCAUUUCAAAGAAAUUUCCAUAACUUUUUAUUCCACCUUUGGUUAUGUCCUUGAUAACGCCUCGUGCAUGGCCAGAACUGUUUGGUUAAUUAAAAUGCAGCAACUCUUAAAAAUUCCGUAAUCAAGGGGGAUUAUUGCAGCAAUCAGUAUGGCCUACAUACUAUACCAUCAAGUUUCUUUUCUUCCUGGAUUGUUUAGGAUUUAGGAUUAAAAAUAAGGUUUUACCUUUUAAGAAACCACUUGUUGGGGUUUCUUAAGUGUUUCUCCCUUAAGGCGGCCAAAAUUCUGGGAGCCUCGAAGCAACAGCUCACAAGGAUGCAGGCAUUUUGGUUCGCUCGCUCCCUGCCAUCUGUCACCUUCUCCUGCAGCGUACGGAGCCCCGUAAGUCUAGAAAAUGUUUGCAAAUCAAACUAAAUUUAAAUGGGAUCAUUAGAUAUACACAACACCAAGUGCUACAUCUGCAGAGAUAAUUUGAAAUUCCUGAUUUCAAGAGAGCAAAUGAGUGUUUACUGAGGAAUAAUUAAAUCAGAAUUUCAUAUGAGCGCCACCAUCCUUCUGUUAGUUCUGUUCAUUUUGAGUGAUUCUCGGAUGCUCAUUCUCCGUCCUCGGUACAGAUAGCGUCCCUGCUCCCAGAAUGUAAAGAUUUCUAGGCCAGGAGACUGCCGCGGCUCCGCUCAUAGACUUGAAGCAGAGCCUGCCACAUGCAGCAAGUAUUUAUUUAAACUAACAUCCAUGCUAUAUUUUAACCUUUUAAGGGUAUAGAAUUUACAGGAUUCUCACAUACUGUGUUCAUACUUGAAUAUCUUUCCAUGUUUUGCGGGGAACAGCAUGCUGGGAAAUAGGUUGCCCUGUUUUCAGUUGUUCUAACCCAUGGUGAAGGUCUUUCUUCCUGAAAGUGAUUAGAUUACCCUUGAUUGCUGCUACUUAUUUGACCUAAUAUCUAAAAAGUUCAGCUCAGUUUUUUAAAAAAAAAGUUUACUUUUCAGAGGAGAUUAUCAUUGAGGAGAUGUUUUUUUGUUUUGGUAAUUUUUAAGUGAUAUGAAAAUCCAGCAACAGUCCUCUUCUGGAUAGCUUACUCUGUUCUGUAGGUAAUUUCAUUUUCUUUUCAUCUGCAGGGAGAGUAAGUCAUAAUGUAUCAAAUGCCUUUUUAGGUAGUCUCUGUCCCUGAGGAUUAGCUUUCAUUUAGCCUGAACUUGGAGUAAUAAAUUCCAAGCUCUUUGAAGGGGACUAACAGUACACUGUCCCCCGUCCACAUUGCGUCUCCUGUGACCUCCAAGUGAGGUCCCCUUACCCUCUGGGGAAGGAACAGCAGAGAGGGGCAAGACUGCAAAAAAGAUGCCAGGCUCCUCUUGGCUGCUUCUAAUAAGAGUCGCUUAGAAUCUGACCCAAGGAGUUUCCUCCCAGGUGGAGAGCAGUUCAGUUUGUGAGAAUAAAGAGCUCCAGCUCGACAGAGAAACGCAAUUUAGAAAAAGUAACUUCUCCGAGGUUACCUCUGUUUUCAUCUUGCUUGCCACCACAUUAAAGGGUGAGUCCCGCUCUCCCAGGUGUCCACAUAGGAAACUGCCGAUCGAUUAUUGUGAUCUUGGCCUGACCAAAAUGCCUUUGUGAAUAGGUCACCAGAAGUUAAAAAAAAAAAAAAAAAUACCCAGUGAUGUAUUCCUGUAGUUAACUUUUUCCGUUGUCAGUUUACUAUUUUAAAAGAAAAAAGGGUGGAUGGGAUACAAUUCUGAAUAUUUUUCUAGUCCGGAAUUUUUUUUAAUUAAUAAUCGGUGCUGUCGGGUCAUGCAUGCUGCAACUCAGUAUUUCCCUUAUUUGAUUUCGCUUUUUGCAAGAAGGGCUAUGGUUCACAUGGCAGAGUAAAUAUUAAACUUUCUGGGGUUCCCUCCCCCCACCUGUGGCCCAAAAGAAUUAAAAUCUUUUAAUAUAAAUAGCAUAUUUAUCAUUCCUCAAUAGUUAAUUAUAGAGUUUGGUAACUUUGUGCCUCAGGGAAGCCACGUGAUAUAACUGGUUAUAGAAUUUCAGGGUUAGGGUUUAAAGAAAGGAGAAAGCCAUUGGAAAAAUGAUGGGCUCCAUGAAGGAGACUAAUGAAUCUGGAUGCAGAAAUAUGCCAGGAACUGGCAUACACAUGAUUGUAAUAGAAUUUCUUUCCAGUAUCAAUAGGGAAAGCUUAAGUUAAUUGCAUAUACUGUAUUAGGAAAGUUGAGAACUCUUCCUAAAGCUUCAAUUGCUUUAUUUUUGCUUACAUAAAACUCAAACACCUGUGUCGUGGGAGCUCAGUAUUGUGAUUUGGGCACUUUUGAAAGUUAAAGCGAGCAUGUUUUCUCCUUUUGUCAUAGGUCUCACAACUGUUACCUGCGGUUCUAGGAUUUUGAUCAACUUUUUAGCCAUUCUGUGCUUUGGAUUCGUGUGAAAGGAUGUGUGAUCACGGCAUUGUUCAUGCUGGCUACAGGCUGGUUAUUUUCAUGCAAUUUUGCCUUGUAACAGUGGAAUUUCUGAUAGGCAAACCACAGAACCUUGAUUUUAAGCCAGAUCCAUCUCCAUUCCCUUGGCAGGGGAUCUUCUAGCCCCUAGUUUAGCCUUCAUGGGCUGAGGGUAUGAAGUUCCUUCUCCAGGGCUGGAAAUAGAGCGGAGCUCUGUUAUCGUUUCUUAAUGACCCAAAGGCCAACGAGACAACUCCAGGAUUUUUUUUAAAGAAGAAUGUAAGCAUUGCAAAAGUAGUAAAACAAAAGAAGGUUCAGUGUUUCUUUUCAGUAAAACAUAUAUCCUCUCAAGUUUUCGCCCUCAUGAAGAAGCCCUAGAGGAAGAUAGGACAAAGUAAAUAUUUUUCCAGUUCUACUUAACCGUUUCUAAACAAAAAUAAACUUGAUGAAAGGGAAAUUAUUUCUUUUUAGCGGAGAUGACCAAUUGUUUCUCUGUAUGAAAUAGUCUAGAAGUUACGGGGUGGUCACAUUUACCAUGUAUAGUGUUAUGAGCAAUUAAAUAUUAUGGAUAUAUUUGUAAAACUGUUCUUUUAUAUUUCAUGUCAAAUUGAAAAGUUUAUUUCUUCACUAUUGUACCUGUGGAAAUACAAGCCAUUUUACAGGAAAAAAAAAAUCUUCGAAAAUUAUUAAAAUGAAUCUCAGUAUGUUUGUGA